AUGAAGGUGAGCGCGGCGCGGGGCGCUAGCGGCGCCGCGGGGAGGCGGCCGCCGCCCGGCGACGCGGCUCCGGCACUGGCAGGGCGGCGGCGGCGCGAGGUGCUUCCCGGGGAGCCGCGGCCAUGGGGGGGCCGGGCGGGACGGACGGGGCGCGGUGGUACCAGUGGGGAGGCGGGGGAUGGGGGGGGGUGUGUGGGGGAGGGCCGGGCCGGGCCGCCCCGCACUCCGCUGCUCCCGCAGCCGCCGCGCCCCGCUCGGCACUGCGCGCCGCCCGCCGCCGCCGCCCUUCUUAUUACCUCACCUCGCGCCCGCCCCGCCCACCGUCGCCAGGACGACGGCGAAAACAAACUGACACGUGGGGAGAGGGGGCGUUCCGCGCGGGAGAGGCGGUGGCGGCGGGCGGUUACGAGGGAGAGGGGGCUCCCGCCCCGCCCCGUCCGCCUGCCUCUUGCUGCUGCUCGUGACGCAGGCGGGGCGCUGCCGCCAGCUCGCCGGGCGGAGGGGUUGGGGGGGGGGGGGGGGGGGGGGGAGGGCAGGGCAGGGCGCGGCAGCGGGCACCGCUCGGCGUGUCCCGCGUGCCUGGGAACCACGGUCUCGUGCGGCGCCGGAGCGCAGUCCAUGCCUCGGCAGAAGAUGUGCCAGGAACCGCCGGUACAGAAGGGAUCAGCGCGCAGAGACACAGGCCGGUGGAACACCAGGAGGACGCCCGAAGAGACAAAGGCCCGGAGACGUCUUGUGAAGGGAGAGGGGGCACCUUCCCAGCGCAGGGGUGCAGGGCUGGUGGACCGCGGUGUGACGGCCGCGCUGCUGGCAUCGCCAUGCCAGUUCCUGGCUGUGAUUGCCACCCAGGCCUUAACCUCUCAGUCUCUCUGACAGCCGCUGCAGGAAUUGACAUCCAACCCCAACAGCAACCGUUUUAGGUCUAAACCUCCCUUCUUGCUUAGCUUUGGGAGAAGGCCCCUGAUACGGAAACUUGCUGGUCUCGGGACAGAUUUUCCCCAUCGGUUGUUUUUCUUUUGUUUCCUGUUGGUGUAAAUGUUAAUUUAUAGAUCUCCUAAGCAGUGCAGUGUUUUCCAGGUCCAAAUUUCAAGCUCAACCACUCGAGGCCACCAGCAAAAUUAAAAAUACAUCCCUUAUUAGCAAUAGGAGAACAAGGAAGCUUCAAAAGCAGAUAAGUGAUCCCAUCUCUUUGAAAUAAAUGGCAGAACUUCGCCAGUUUCAGGAAGGGAAGGCUUGAGUAACACGGGCUGAAAUAACACAGGUUGCUUUCACAAUCUUUCAUUAAAAUAGACUGGGUCGCAAUGUUUCUGCGUAAUUCAGACGGACGUGUGCGAGGUAUGCGUAAGUUCAUGUCAAAAAGAUGUGGCCCACUUUCAUCUGAGUCUUGCUCCUUAAUUGUGUAAAUGUUGGCAAGGUGCUUAAAAAAGUGUGUGUUUGCAGGCAUCGAUAAGUUCAAUGCCACCUGCUCAAAAGCAUCCCACAUAAAGGUCAACACAUUAUUUCCACUAAUGAAGCACAAGGCAAAAGGUUUUCUUUUCCUCCCUUAAAUGAAAGGGAUUGUGAUUUAAUGGUCCUGAGCGUGGAAGUUCAAUGCCUUAUAUUUGCAACUGCUCACAGCCAAUGCUCUCCCAGCCUCCAUAACAACCCAAAUGUUGUUUUCUUAAGGCAGAUUUGUUUUAAUAUGCUUUCUCUCGCCAGCUGACCAUUUCUCCAAGUCUCAGUUUUCUCCAAAUUUCCCAAUUUUCUCUAAGACUUUCCUUCCACUAACUCAGAACACAGCAUGUUCCUGUGCUGUUCAAAGCUGACUUUGGGGAUUGCUUAAUACAGAUAGAAAAUUGCACAGAAUUCGUGUCCCUCUUGCCUUGGGAUGUGCAAUGACAUUUCUCCAGAUUAUGCUGUGCUUGGACAGAAAGAAGUCUGUUGCAGCACCUGCCGUGCUGGACUGCGGUGGUCUCUCCAUGUUUCUCUCCCUGCCUGUGUGGAAGAAGGAGUUUUCUUCCACAUCUCCCACAUCUAACUGUGAGAGCAGGGUUGCCCUAGCCUUGCCACAGGUGCUGUUCACCCAUUUUCGGAAAAGAAGAAUUACUGCCUGAUGCCGACAACUCCUAUCAAUGGCCAGUCCAAGCGGUAACUCACUGCAAGUGCAGUGCAGAGUGAAAUGUCUGCUUAACAGGGCUGAUCAUCAGGAAGGCUUAGUGGCUAGUCUGAGGCAGUGCUAAACUGAUCACCUGAGAGUAUAAAGCCCAAAAGACAGAAAAAAGCCAAGGUGACAAAAGAGCACAGAUUUUUGGAGCAGAGGCAGUUGUCAGGAAAUGGUGUCCCACACUAAAAACUUUAAGAACAUCAAUAAGAAGAAAAAACAGUUGAGCUGAUUGUGCCUGAAACAAAGACCAACCUGUUUAUCUUGAUAUGUUUAUUUUAAAGCCUAACUUUGGAACUUGAUUUUCAACAGAACUGCCUCUCAGGAAUCACAAUGUGCAGCUUAUCCCCUUUGAUUUCAUUGUCUGUGACAGCAGCUGAUGGAAUCAGGUACUGCAGACUUUGGGAAAGAUUGUGUCAUGGCGUCGCUGGGGUCAGACAACAAGAUGCUUUCCUGGCAUCUUUGGGAUUGCACUUUGUUACUUUUGCAGCAUGCUGCAGCAGAUAGCCUACAGGGCCAGGAGCUGCCAGGCCCCCUGCUCCAGCUCUGGCAUAAAAUAACAAAAGGAGAACUUGGGAAGAAACCCAGGAUGCUGGGUUAUACCUAACAGCAUCCUUGUCGCUACUCAAAAUCAAAACAGUGAUUCCAUAAUCCUUGGUGCUGUGCUGGGUUUUACCCUAACAAGGUUGCUGGAGAGCAGGUGGAAGUGGGUAGGUUCAUGAAAGGAGACUGGGCAUCUGGAGGGCUUCUUACAUCCCAUGCCACCCCAAUAAACUGGCCUCAACUGCACUGUGGCCAAGGUGGGGGUAGAGGGGAAAGUGGGAGAGGUCUCACAUAUGCCUGCUGUGCAGCUCUGGAGAGGUGCGGUGCAGUGCUGAGGAUUCACCUUCCUCCCGUGGGAUCUCUGCCACACUGAGGAGGGUGAGACAGUCCAGAGCCACAGCCACCAGGCUGCCCUCCAGGGCUCUGCUCAGGGAGACCUGCCUUUUAGGGAUCUGUUUUCUAGCCUGUAUUGUAUACUUUUCAUAAAGUGCAACUGAGCUCAAGUUUUAUUUACCUGUUCUUGCACGGGUUACUUUAUUUUUGUUAAACAGAAAUAAAACCCCGCUCAGUUGGCAGUUACCCUUGUGGAUUAUUAGUACAGUGCAAAGGGCACAUUUCUGAAGAUUGUGGGCAAUUCCAGGCAGGUUUCAAGCAGUUAACAAGUGCAUACAUACACAGAUGGCACAUGCAGACUUAAGAUCAUAAACGUUCAUGCUGAGAAUGUCAGCAGUGCCUGUGGUCAAAUCUGUUUUCACCUGCUUUUUUGAAAGUCCGACCAUAUCUUGUUGAUAGUUAUUUUACUUUCCUACAUGAGUGAGGUUAGAAAGACCCAGCAAUACGCAUUGUCACCAACCAAGACCUUGGGGCUGGUUUAGGUCAAACACCCUGUAGCGAGGUGCUGUAGGUCUGUGCUGUUGGUCUUUUGGUCCCUUGUAAGAAGAGGCAGUGUUGCUGAAGUUGUUAUCAGUGCUGACACCAGGAAGUCUCCAGACCAUUAGAUGUUUUUUCUGCUGGGCGGUCAGCAUGCUUUCGCACCCCGGAGGAAAGGGGUCUGCGUGUGGGUGAGAGCCCUGCUGAUGACUUUCACUGUACUUGCAGCAUGCCAGCCCAGUGUUUCUUCCUUGAGACCCUGUACAUAAGCAGAGCUUAAUCUCGGGGAUCCGAUUCUCAACAAGAGUUCAGGUUGUUGAUUCCCACUGAAUUUCCCCCAGGGGGAUAACUCCUGUCUGAGUGUCGGGCAUCUACUUCCAGAGGUGCUCAUCCUCCUGUCCCAGUACCAUUCAGUUAGCCUCACCAGCCCCUGGCAGAGGUGGCCAGCACUCUCGCACAACUUGGCACGACCCAGGUCCUCUUGCACGCAACAGCUCUUCUGCUUCUAAGCAAUCCAAGGGUGGUUGUGUUUCUCCAAGAGGCAAAAUACCUUGAAUUGCUUAUGCAAAAGAAAGAGCUUUAUAAAUUUUUGUUAGGCUUAGGCAUCCUUGCUUUAAUGUGUUUGCCCCAUCUGUCAUUGUUUUAAUGGGUUUGCCCCAUCUUUCAAUUCAGAUGUUCCCCAAACUUUAACAAUGACUUAUAUAAGUGGCUCCCACCAUGGGACUGGUGCAAACAAGAACUGCACAAUAAACAUCCUUUUUAAAGUCCUGUAUGUAAUGUGGGGACAAUCGCACACAGCGAAGAGGAUGAAUUCUUGUUUGUGAUUCUUUGCAUGCGUGGGGCUGAUUCAUUGUAUUUUUCCAGACCUAAUGGUGGAGUUGCAGAGAUAUAAAGAAAACUUGAAAAAAUAACAUCUGUUAGGUAACCAGAGGAUGGUCCCCAUGGAUGGGUGAUAGAUUUGGUAUAUGCUGGAAGAUGCAGGGAGAUGUAUGGGUGAGAAGACCAAGUUGCUCUGGAGAAGAAGCCAGGUACUGGGAUUACUAUUAGUGCACCUUCCUCCACCCUCCUUGGGGACCAGAUUCUCUCAUUAUUAUCUGUGUGAAAUAUUUAAGGCACUGCUGCUCAAUAGCCUCUGGAAAGAAAAAAGACACUUCUAACUUCUCUGUGUCCCUGGAAGAAUCUCUUUUCUGCUGCAAGAAAGUUUUUUUUUCUCUUUGGCCAUCUCCCAGCCCCCUUGGUUGCUGCAGAAAAACGAUGUGUAAGAAAUCUCCCCCAUCCUCCCUAUCUCAGGCUCCUCUUUUUCAUUCUUCCUCACUGUUUAAUUAGUAAUCUUUAACUGAUAAUCUCUGUUAAUAAAAAUGAAACAUCUUACUAAAGAUUUGGCUUCCUAGAACAUUCCCAAGCAGUGUCAAUAUAAAAUCAAUU
rnacentral:lncRNA from 1 species